GGAGGGGUGGCCGAGUGGCUUAAGGCGCCUGUCUUGAAAACAGGUAUGUCCGUGAGGACAUCGCAGGUUCGAAUCCUGUCCCCUCCGCCA
rnacentral:tRNA from 1 species